AUGGGCACACCGUCUCGCGAAGCUCCGCUCACAGCCGCCAACAAUAUCCAGCCGUUCUUUGUCCUUCACAAGGCGUCCGCUGGUGCGUCCGCAUCCGUUUCCUCCCCGGCAACCUCCCGGGCCCGGCGGCGAAUCGAGGUCUCCCAGCCGUCAUCUCCCAACCCCAAAUCUGCAAAGAGGCCGCGGGACGACGACGAUGAGGGGGACAUGGAGCUGUUCGAGCAGCUCCGCCUGGAGGCCUUCCACUGCACCUGGUCCAAGAUCCAAUCCACCAUCAAUGAGGUCCUCAGAGGCAUCAACCUCAAGCUGUUCGACCAGGUGCUGCGGUGGGUUCAGGAAUCCUUCUCCGCGAUCCGCUCUAUCACGAGACCCUGCCCUGCCGAAAUCCAGCAGCCGUACCCUCUCUUAACUGAUGUGAUCUGCAGAAAGAUACCAACGGCGUUUGUUCUCACUAAGAAUGCAGAAUUUGUUGACGAUGUCACGACAUUUCGGGAUCUCAUGGAUCAUCUGGAGUCUAAUGGAUGUCACCUGGCCAAGCUCUCGGCAACGGAAUUAUCAUCAAAGAAUGGAGUCGGUGGCUGCUUAAGGAGCUUGUUGAGGCAGCUGCUUUCAGACGUUCCAGAUGUAGCAGAUGUAUCUGCACUUGCAUCUUGGUACUGCAAAGGCGACAAUUAUGAUCAACCUAUCAUUAUCAUAAUUGAUGAUUUAGAGCAAUGCUCCGGUGAUGUCCUGGGAGAGCUUGUGAUGACGCUGAGUGAGUGGGUAAUUAAGAUUCCAAUCUUCUUUGUAAUGGGGAUAGCAACUACCCUUGACGCACCAAGGAAACUGCUCUCAUCGGAAGCUCUUCAAAGAUUAGAUCCCUGUAAACUCACGUUGGGGUCUCCCUCUGAUAGAAUGAAUGCCCUUGUGGAGGCCAUCCUUGUUAAACCAUGCGCCGGUUUCUGCAUCAGCCACGAAGUUGCAGUCUUCCUCAGAAAUUACUUUUUCAGACAUGAUGGGACAAUAACAUCAUUCAUUAGUGCUCUCAAGCUUGCAUGCAGUAAGCACUUCUCUGUCGAACCUUUGAGUUUCUUGUGCAUGGGAAUGCUUGAAGAGGAUUCUGAGAACUUUUGGCGUGAUAAAUUUGGUGCACUGCCUGUAGCAGUUCAGAAACAAGCUUUUGGUUUACCCUCAUGCACUAGGGAAAAUAACUCAAUCAAGCCUGGCAACAAUUUGGUAGAAGGUUUGUCUGAGCUGAUGAAGCUGCAAAAGGAUUGGAGUUCUGUUCUCUUGUGCUUGUAUGAAGCUGGAAGACAUGGCAAAGUGCAACUUUUAGAUAUUUUCUGCGAGGCAAUCAAUCCAGAUCUGCACACUCAGAAUGAUUCAAAUAAUGAACUGCUUAUGUCUAAACUCACAAGUGGGAAUCUAUCAAGUGGAAAAUCAGGUGCUGGUAGAAGAUGUAUAGCUCAGGCAUUGGAUACAGCAAGAUACAUGCCUAUGGAAACAUUAUUUCGUGUUCUUGAAGUUUGGAGCACCCACUUAGAAGGAAUGAAUGAGAUUAAUGCCAAGGUCAAAGAGCUUCAGUCAACCACAACCAGUGAAGAUUGUGUGACAAUCACAAAGGAUAAGUGGCCUAGGAGAUCAGCAAAUAGUACUGCAAUUGGAACAGUGCCAUUAAACGAUAAAGCUGCCAUGCUAUUGGAUGAUAUUACGAGAAAACUUUUGGUGCCUGUGGAGUGUUUACCUUUUCACGAAAUCAUUUGCUUCAAGAAUGUUGGUGUUCUCCAAUCUGCACUAAUUGGAAACCCAAGAAGAAUGGUUCAGCUUGAUCUCCUGAAGUCACAGAGCCGUCUUAAUUGCUCUUGCUGCAGCAGAAAUGGAAUUGCUGUGUCAGCAUCCUUGCAUGACACAUCAGUUAUGUGCAACCUAGCCCAAGAAUAUGGUGACGUAAUUAACCUCCAUGACUGGUACCUGUCUUUUGAUGGAAUUAUCAAUUCAAAAGGGAAAAGCAAAUUGGUCGGUUCUCCCUCAAAAAAGAAAUCAAAAGCCACGCCUCAACAGAGUGGAGCCAUGAUCCAAGCACGGUUCUGCAGGGCUGUCACGGAGCUCCAAAUUACUGGACUUCUUCGAAUGCCGAGCAAGAGAAGGCCAGAUCUGGUGCAGAGAAUUGCAUUCGGUCCUUGA
rnacentral:rRNA from 1 species